rnacentral:snRNA from 1 species
GUGCUCACUUCGGCGGCACAUAUAUUAAAAUUGGAACGAUACGGAGAAGAUUAGCAUGGCCCCUGUGCAAGGAUGACACACAAAUUUGAGAAGCAUUCCAUAUUUUU